UUGCUCUUCAACGAGGAAUUCCUAGUAAGCGCGAGUCAUCAGCUCGCGUUGACUACGUCCCUGCCCUUUGUACACACCGCCCGUCGCUCCUACCGAUUGAAUGGUCCGGUGAAGUGUUCGGAUCGCGGCGAUGUGGGCGGUCCGCUGCCGGCAACGUCGCGAGAAGUCCACUGAACCUUAUCAUUUAGAGGAAGGAGAAGUCGUAACAAGGUUUCCGUAGGUGAACCUGCGGAAGGAUCAUUGUCGAUACCUGCCCAGCAGAACGACCCGUGAACUUGUAAUAACCUUCUGGGUUGGGGUGUCAUGCCCCCUCCCAAAAACGGUUGGGAGGGCACGUUGAAAUCUGCCCACCGCUCCUCGUGUGUGGCGGGUCAGUCUCCUCGUUCCCUUCCCGGUCGAACAAUGAACCCCGGCGCGGUCUGCGCCAAGGAACUCAAACAAGGAGUAACCACGUCAUGCCCCGGAAACGGUGUGCGUGCCGUUGGUGACAUCUUACCACGAUACAUAACGACUCUCGGCAACGGAUAUCUCGGCUCUCGCAUCGAUGAAGAACGUAGCGAAAUGCGAUACUUGGUGUGAAUUGCAGAAUCCCGCGAAUCAUCGAGUCUUUGAACGCAAGUUGCGCCCGAAGCCAUUCGGCCGAGGGCACGUCUGCCUGGGUGUCACGCAUCGUUGCCCCCACCCCAACACCUCGUAUGAUGUGUACGGUGCGGGGCAGAAAUUGGCCUCCCGUGUGCGUUGCUCGCGGUUAGCCUAAACGCGAGUCCUGGGCGACGAGCGCCACGACAAUCGGUGGUUGACAAAACCCUCGUGCCCCGUCGUGCGUUGCUCGACGCCGUGAAGGCUCUCCUCGACCCUAUUGCGUCGUUCUUGCGACUCUACCAUCGCGACCCCAGGUCAGGCGGGAUUACCCGCUGAAUUUAAGCAUAUCAAUAAGCGGAGGA
rnacentral:rRNA from 1 species